rnacentral:rRNA from 1 species
GAUGAACGCUGGCGGCGUGCCUAAUACAUGCAAGUCGAGCGAACAGAUGAGGAGCUUGCUCCUCUGAUGUUAGCGGCGGACGGGUGAGUAACACGUGGAUAACCUACCUAUAAGACUGGGAUAACUUCGGGAAACCGGAGCUAAUACCGGAUAAUAUAUUGAACCGCAUGGUUCAAUAGUGAAAGACGGUUUUGCUGUCACUUAUAGAUGGAUCCGCGCCGCAUUAGCUAGUUGGUAAGGUAACGGCUUACCAAGGCAACGAUGCGUAGCCGACCUGAGAGGGUGACCGGCCACACUGGAACUGAGACACGGUCCAGACUCCUACGGGAGGCAGCAGUAGGGAAUCUUCCGCAAUGGGCGAAAGCCUGACGGAGCAACGCCGCGUGAGUGAUGAAGGUCUUCGGAUCGUAAAACUCUGUUAUUAGGGAAGAACAAAUGUGUAAGUAACUAUGCACGUCUUGACGGUACCUAAUCAGAAAGCCACGGCUAACUACGUG